rnacentral:rRNA from 1 species
CACGUAUUUAGCCGGAGCUUUCUUCUAUGGUACUGUCAUUAUCUUCCCAUAGGACAGAACUUUACGAUACGAAUACCUUCUUCGUUCACGCGGCGUCGCUGCAUCAGGGUUUCCCCCAUUGUGCAAUAUUCCCCACUGCUGCCUCCCGUAGGAGUUUGGACCGUGUCUCAGUUCCAAUGUGGCCGUUCAUCCUCUCAGGCCGGCUACUGAUCGUCGCCUUGGUGGGCUGUUAUCUCACCAACUAGCUAAUCAGACGCGAGCCCAUCUAUGACCGAUAAAUCUUUGACCGUUAAAACAUGUGUUUCUACGAUUUUAUGCGGUAUUAAUCCCGGUUUCCGAGGCUAUCCCAUGUCAUAGGCAGGUUGCUCACGCGUUACUCACCCGUUCGCCACUCUCAUUAGUAAUCUUCCACGAAGCUUCUGUUUUACUAAAUCCCGUUCGACUUGCAUGUGUUAAGCACGCCGCCAGCGUUCGCUGAGCCAGAUACAAACUCU